rnacentral:rRNA from 1 species
GUGGGGAAUAUUGGACAAUGGGGGCAACCCUGAUCCAGCAAUGCCGCGUGAGUGAUGAAGGCCUUAGGGUUGUAAAGCUCUUUUACCGGGGACGAUGAUGACGGUACCCGGAGAAUAAGCCCCGGCUAACUUCGUGCCAGCAGCCGCGGUAAUACGAAGGGGGCGAGCGUUGUUCGGAGUUACUGGGCGUAAAGGGCGCGUAGGCGGCGGACCAAGUUAGGCGUGAAAGCCCCGGGCUCAACCUGGGAAUAGCGCUUAAGACUGGUUUGCUUGAGUGCGGGAGAGGUGAGUGGAAUUCCCAGUGUAGAGGUGAAAUUCGUAGAUAUUGGGAAGAACACCAGUGGCGAAGGCGGCUCACUGGCCCGCAACUGACGCUGAGGCGCGAAAGCGUGGGGAGCAAACAGGAUUAGAAACCCCUGUAGUCC